UGGUUCUGGCAUCGAUGAAGAACGCAGCGAAAUGCGAUAAGUAAUGCGAAUUGCAGAGCAGUGAGUCAUCGAAUCUUUGAACGCACAUUGCGCCCUUUGGCAUUCCGAAGGGCAUGCCUGUUCGAGCGUCAUUAACAACCCUCAAGCCUGGGCUUGAUGUUGGACCUCUAUUAGGUCCGCCUAACAGUGUCCCAAAGACAAUGACGGAGUCUAUGUCGGACCCUAGACGCAACGAGCUUUUUAAGCACGCGUCCCAAGGGGCAGACCAGGCUGGUCUUCAACUCUUAUUUUCUAAGGUUGACCUCGGAUCAGGUAGGAAUACCCGCUGA
rnacentral:misc_RNA from 1 species